rnacentral:tmRNA from 1 species
GGGAACAUCGUUAGGAAACUGUCCAGCAUCUAGUUUAACCAUAUGUGGUUUGGAUAGUUCAUAACAAAAUUUAUGUAGCAAGGUUGGGAUGGAUGAUCCAUGUAGUGGCAACUGACGCACAUUUUCUCUCAAGUCAUUAAAAAUACUAUCUCUAAACAUCUGUUCCAUAAGCCUUGCCCUGGGUGCAACAAAGCCAGCCUUCUGAAACACAGUCUUAACUGAAGUCUGGGAAAGCAUAGCAUCCACAAUAACUUCAGGAGGCACGAUCGCCAACAGUUCCCAGGCACAAAAAAUGGCAUCCAAUACUUCAUUGAGGAGUUGCAGGUACGUGUGGUUGAUCACACCUUCUGGGUUUCUCCCCCUCUCCUUGACUCGGGUCGCAGCUACUUUGGGAUGGAGUUUAAACAAGACAACAUUAUCAAAUUUUUGUGCUGAAAACACAGACAAUAGUGAUAACAAAUCACAGAACCUCAACACCCCCAAUCUGAAAAACAGGCAAGGAAAGAUGACUGUGGGAGACACCAUAUGCCUGUCAAUCAACACAUAAUUGUUACAUGUUCCAUCGGAGACCUUGGUACCUAGACACGUCCGGCGGAGUAGGUGCUGGGUGGCAUGAAAAGGCUGGGCAAAGGCCAUUUGGCAUUGCAACACUUUUUUGGAGUGCUUCUUCCCCUUUUCUUUGGUCUUGACCACAUCGUAGAUCUGCUGACAGACAUUUUUGUCAAAAGUGGAAGUCCAGUAAGGAAUAGGUUCUGAGAUCACAAGUAUGUUGUGCAGAAACUCAGCAGCAGCCUCCAGGGCGGUGGUCUUACCCACCGCAAUCCCACCAUCAAAGUAUAACACAGUGGCACAUCUGGUGGGGCCUGCCGGGAAAUCUGUGCUCAUUUUGGACAUAUAUGAAUAUCUGAACCCAGUCCCGUCUCCUCUCCUCCUAACAACUGACCGAUGCUCUUCCGUGCCCUCAUUUUUUGUAUUUCCGCUCAUGAACUUCUCAAAACUUCCCUUUAGUUUGUCAAAAGCGGUUUUACUCUUUGUUCCAGUCUCCUUAGUCAUCAUCAGGCGUUUCCAGGAUGUAGGAACAUCAACCUUACUUCCCCUCUGACGCUCCCCAACAGCUUCCGCGUCACUUUCCGUCUCAGAAUCAGAGAAGAUUAUCACUGGGGGGUUUGGCCGUCUUUGUGGCCUGGGAGACCUGACAUCCCGUUCUGGGGGUGGAGAACCUGCCAUUUCCUCAUACCCUUGAGGUACAUGUUGAGGUACAGAUGGAAGUGGUUUGUCCACUGGCAGGAAGUCAGGUUUGUUGCCUCCGGCCUCUGGGUGUCUAACCAAAACCCUGGGUGCCCGGGACCGAGGACGCGCGCCCCCAUGAGUUGUUUGCACAGUGACAGUAUUGGCCUGAGUAUCCCUAGGGAUAUCAUAGUUCUCACCCACAGAAGAGACUUUACACCUGAUGGUGGACCUCCUGGGUGUUUGAUAGAUCGAUUGCCUGGCAGGUUGCCCAUAUGCCCCUAUAUCCUCAUAAUCAGACUCACUAUCUGACUGUUCGGGGGGACGCCGACUGGGCGUGCCAGGCAUCCUCUCGACUUCGCCAGUGCUGGGUCUGCGAGUAAUUAUUCUGUCAAAAGAGGGGGUGGCAUAGGUGGCAUCAUCAUCGCUAUCUACAGCCUCUUGUCUAUUAUAGGGGGGUCUCAGGAGAGAAUAUACUCCCUGGCGCCGCAUUGCAUCAAAAGGAUUGUCAUAAACCUCCUCUGGCUCUGCAUAGACGUGCUCAUCACUGUCAGAAUCAGGUUGGAAUCCAGGGUUGUUUUUACCUCCAGAAGCCAUGAAUGAAUUAGGAGCCAAGCAACUGCUCAACAAAUUACCAAAGAGGAGAGCUAGGGCUGGAAAGCUGGCACACGUCAGGUGUUACAGAGCAAUGCAAGGAGCUUCAAAUAUUCUCCAACUGCUAGAAUCUUUAAAAAUCGCACAUCAGAUAACACACCCAGUAGGUUCCAGGCUCUUUUUUGAGGUCACACUAGGGCGCAGGGUGGUUGAUGCAAUUAUAGUGGUUUUCUCAGAAAGUAGUCCUCACAUCCACUGUUUUUUGAUAGAGCUAAAGACAUGUAAAAUCAAUUUCUUCAACCAGCACAGUACCACCAGAGAAGCACAAAAGGUAGAGGGUAGCAACCAGCUGAGGGACUCUGCCAAGGCGCUAGCAGUUCUAGCUCCAGUUGGAACUGACCCCUGCAGAGUCACCGCACACCUGAUAUUUAAGAGCCAGCGGGGUCUGAACACUUUAAAAAGUUAUACACUGAACUGGAUGACUCACACUGUAAACACUCAAAAAGUUGCACUUUUGAACUUUCUGGGGUUGCGUGCGGACAAUGAAUUAAGAGCUUGUUUAACUAGGGGACUCCCCCCUGCCAAUUCCCCUGGAAGCAGGAGGCACCAUGUUUGUUUACCUGAACCCAAACCCCAAAAACACCUUAAGAAUAGACGCGGAGGCGCUCACAGAAACCAGAAGGCUCGCCGCCAGGGCGUGGGACCUAAAGUAUCAAAUGACAAAACAAGGAAUGCACCAACGCAUGCUGAGGGCCGAGCUGGAUAACCUGGAAAUCCUAGAAAGGGGGCAUUCUGCGGCUUUGACCACAAAUCUGAGCUUACUGGCAAAUGUCCUGCUCGACCAACCGGCCCCGCCCGAUCCAACACAGGGUGAAGAAAAGGGCCUUCCCCCUUCCAGUCGGGUGGAGUCCAGAACAGAGGGUGUCUACACUGUAACUGUAUACCCGGGAGAUCCCGCCUUUGAAAUACAGGAUAGUCUACCCCAGAAAAUAUGGCCAAUGCUCUACCUCCAUCAGCAGAGGUGGCUGCCCUCUUACGGCCCGUGGCACAUCAGGUUUACCUCUUCCGCCAUGCAGCUCAGAAAUUUUCCACGUUCCCUCCGUGGCCAGGCAAAUUUUCAAAACUCCAUGUCCCUCAAACUCAUCACUGCACUUACUGACGUCAUCUCCAGGAUCUCCCUAGACUUUUACUCAGACCUGAGACAUUUGAGUGAUACCAUGUCCGCCCUGUGUCUCAUAGCAGCUUACUACAGUGAAAAAAAUCAAACACCUCUACCCACUAACCUCCCAGAACUGCUAGGGAAUAUCACAGCAAAGGUGACCCUCCUGGUUAGGGACCUGAAGAGGGCAGCGGCAAAUAAAGGGUUUAAUUUCAAUAGAAACUCUUCUUCUCUGUUACCUGCCCAGGGCGGCCUUUACAGUAAUGAUUUUUUUCAGGAGCACGCGCUGUAUUCUCUGUUUAGAACAGCGGGGAUGUUGGCAAGUUCAAGCUCGCCCGAGUAUCCCAGGGCAGAUUCUGUGCUCGCCAUCACGGCGGCCGUGUUUGGUGACAACAUCCCUCCCUUUGCUGCCUAUCAGUGGAACCUUCGCAGUGGUCUCAAGGCGCUCGAGUCACUCAUCCUACUGUUUCUACUCUUGGACGUGAACGUCCCAGCCACCUCCAACAAGAGGCUACACCUGGAGGCUUUGUUGGGGGAGUCUUACAGUAAGGGGUCCCGUCCCCCAGCCCGCCGCACCGGUCCACUAGACGCUGGAGGCUCAGUCUUCAGCUUUCUCAUGGAAAACUAUCUAGUGCCCACUCUACUACACCGCCCCACCACCAACAUGUCCGCCCUCUUUCCAGGCCUCUACCUCCUCCAGCUGGAGUUUAGCUCAGGAGCCUCCACCCCCCACGCCAUUCACUUAACAGACGUGAAGUUUAGGGACAUUUUCAAUAUCCUGGUGCAAUCUAAUGUUUUUCAAGAUUCCCAGGAACUGAUCAGGGCCAAACAGUCCCUGAGAGUCAGCUGUGAAACAGGCAGUGGGAAUCUCCUGGAAAGCCUCUCCCCGGGGACCACCAUGCGAGACAUCAUCAGAAAAGAAUUCAUGGCACAAGAUGUUUAUGAUUAUGUUUAUUUUUGUGUGUUGGGGGCACUUCCUGUUACAGUGGCCGUGGUGUAAGAAAUAAAGCUGUUGUUAAAAGUAAACAA